rnacentral:rRNA from 1 species
GUAGGGAAUCUUCCACAAUGGACGAAAGUCUGAUGGAGCAACGCCGCGUGAGUGAAGAAGGUCUUCGGAUCGUAAAACUCUGUUGUUAGAGAAGAACGUGCGUGAUAGUAACUGAUCAUGUAAUGACGGUAUCUAACCAGAAAGUCACGGCUAACUACGUGCCAGCAGCCGCGGUAAUACGUAGGUGGCAAGCGUUGUCCGGAUUUAUUGGGCGUAAAGGGAACGCAGGCGGUUUUUUAAGUCUGAUGUGAAAGCCUUCGGCUUAACCGAAGAAUAGCAUUGGAAACUGGAAGACUUGAGUGCAGAAGAGGAGAGUGGAAUUCCAUGUGUAGAGGUGAAAUGCGUAGAUAUAUGGAGGAACACCAGUGGCGAAAGCGGCUCUCUGGUCUGUAACUGACGCUGAGGUUCGAAAGCGUGGGUAGCAAACAGGAUUAGAAACCCCUGUAGUCC